AAAAGUUUUUUCAUGCAAGAAAGUAACUUUAGUUUUGAAUGGUUGAUUUUAGGUUGGUUUUAGUUUAAGGUAUUAAAGAAUACAACCUCUAACCUAACCCUCAUGUAAAUUCACAUACUCCUAUCUAAAUAUAGUGUCCAUAGUGUCCUUAUUACAUCACUUUGAAAAGCAAGAAAGAUAAACUAGUCCUAAGGUGAUAUUUCUCUUCCCCACAUG
rnacentral:lncRNA from 1 species